ACUUAAAGGAAUUGGCGGGGGAGCACACAAGGGGUGGACGUUGCGGCUUAAUUGGAGUCAACGCCGGAAACCUUACCGGGGGCGACGCAGUGAUGGCAGGUAAAGGCCUGCCUGACGAGCUGAGAGGAGGUGCAUGGCCGUCGCCAGUGCGUGCCGUGAGGUGUCCUGUUAAUUCAGGCAACGGACGAGACCCGCGCCCCCAGUUGCGACCGGGGAAGCCCGAGCACUCUGGGGGGACUGCCCCGGAAACGGGGAGGAAGGAGCGGGCCACGGCAGGUCAGUAUGCCCCGAAUCCCCCGGGCCGCACGCGACGUUCAAUGGUGGGGACAGUGGGCUGCGACCCCGAAAGGGGAAGCAAUCCCUAAACCCCACCUCAGUAGGGAUCGAGGGUUGCAACUCGCCCUCGUGAAC
rnacentral:rRNA from 1 species